GGCUCGUUUGUCUAGGGGUAUGAUUCUUGCUUAGAGUGCGAGAGGUCCCGGGUUUAAAUCCCGGAUGAGCCC
rnacentral:tRNA from 1 species